AGAAAACAGAGUAUUUAGAAGUUUAACAGGCCGUCAAACUUGUUUCUCUCCCUGCUUUCUUAAUUACUGCAUUUUCCUUAUUAACUCCUAUACUUGUAUCCGCCCAAACCGCAUUGGUUUGGGCUUUUUUUU
rfam:Vibrio splendidus 12B01 1099451319029, whole genome shotgun sequence.